UGUUUAUUUUUCAUUCGUUGCUAAUUACUAUAUGACGAACAUUUCAUAUCUGUUGAAGUUUGUUCCUUUGGGAAACAGUUUCCUCAUGAACAUCGUCUCGGGAGACUCUCAGGAAAAUAAAACUAUAUAUUGUAACUAUUUAAAAGUGCAUAAAGUUAAGAUCCUUUAUAAUAUCUUCCAUUGUAAAAUUAACAGCGUUUGUCUACGACAGUUUUAAUUAAAGCGACCAAGUACUGAAAACAUGUUGAUGUACAAUAAAAGAGAGCUUAAGAUUGACGUUUACGGCAGACCGCUAACCGCUAACUUCAAGUCGUA
rnacentral:lncRNA from 1 species